CCAGGACCUUCAACAGAUGCUGGAAAGCCGGCUGUUUCUGCCAACAACUGUGACUGAUUGGGAUUCACAUAAAGCCCCCAGCCUCCUAGGAGCAUGACAAGAGUCAAAUUAGGUGGGCUGGGAGCAAAACAAAGAGUUCCAGAAAAGGAAUCGUCUCAAACUCAGCAAAACCUCUGAGAGCACGCUGCGGACAUCCUGACACUUCGCCUGUAGGAGCAAGGACUCGUCUGUGUUGUCCUCAUCACAGGAAAGACAUAAUGCUGACGCCUUAACGUCCUUUACUGUCAGCACACAGUCACACUUUCCCAGGGAUCCCCCCGAAACAGGCCGUUGGAGGACCUGCAGAAUCCGGUCAAGGUUCAUGCCCUCCUUUUUGCUGUCAUGUCAUCUUAGGUCUCUCGUGGCAUUGACUCUGGAAGAAUUGUUUGGAAGAGACAGGUCGGUUGCCUUGAAGAUGCCCCAUGUUUUGGAUUUGUCUUUUUUUUUCUCGUGGUUAGAUUCUGGUGGAACAUUCCUGGCCGGAGUGCCAUAAGGUCAUGUUACAUCUCAGGAAGAGCCAAGGAGACUGAAGCCCAGCUAGUCGGUGGCAGGGUUUAGCUGCAUUUCAGUACCAGAUUUUUUUUUUUUUUAAGAUUUUAUUUAUUUAUUUGAGAG